UACGUAGGGUGCGAGCGUUGUCCGGAAUUACUGGGCGUAAAGGGCUCGUAGGUGGUUUGUCGCGUUGUUCGUGAAAUCUCACGGCUUAACUGUGAGCGUGCGGGCGAUACGGGCAGACUUGAGUACUGCAGGGGAGACUGGAAUUCCUGGUGUAGCGGUGGAAUGCGCAGAUAUCAGGAGGAACACCGGUGGCGAAGGCGGGUCUCUGGGCAGUAACUGACGCUGAGGAGCGAAAGCGUGGGGAGCGAACAGG
rnacentral:rRNA from 1 species